UACGAAGGGAGCUAGCGUUGUUCGGAAUCACUGGGCGUAAAGCGCACGUAGGCGGCUUGUACAGUCAGACGUGAAAUUCCUGGGCUCAACCUGGGGGCUGCGUUUGAUACGUGCGGGCUUGAGUUCGGAAGAGGGUCGUGGAAUUCCCAGUGUAGAGGUGAAAUUCGUAGAUAUUGGGAAGAACACCGGUGGCGAAGGCGGCGACCUGGUCCGAUACUGACGCUGAGGCGCGAAAGCGUGGGGAGCAAACAGG
rnacentral:rRNA from 1 species